UUUUUUUUACUUUUGUAGUGAUAGACACAAGCAGCAUAUGUCAAAAUUUGUUACACCGAAGGUUUGCAUGAUGAUUGGCACUUGCAGACGAUAUUACUGACUUAAGCUUGGCAAGAAUGUUGCCUGCAUUGCUGCCCUUGUACUAUACGUCUAACAUGAUGCCUCUCGAUAGCACUAAUAAAAUUAUGCACUUUCACUGUGAGCAUAAGUGGCCUCCAAAUCUGGCAUAAAAUUUAUGGUUGUUUGCAUGAUCAUAAGAACAUGGCUCAAGCUGUAUGUAUGCAAUUUUCUUCUACUUUUUGGUAUGUUCAUAUUGGAUCUCACAUAGUUUAGUUCUUUAUUUGAUAAUGCAAGUGCAAUGCAUGAACUUGGCAUAUGUUUAUAUGCACACGUUCCUUUCAUUAGCCUUGUUGAUUAGCAUAUGAUUUUAACAUUGUUUUGUCAAAGACUUUAUGUAGAAAAUGUAGCCUUCGAAGCAUGAGCAUCCCAAGGCAGGAUGCAGAAAAUGUAGAGCCAGAUGAAGGAAAAUUACAAGGCCCUACAGAGAUGGAUGAUUCAUUACCAAAAAUCCUCCUGAAUCUACUAGUCAAAUUAAAAUGAUUUGUAAGCUCAAACAUUUUUUCUACCAUGUUUAGUUGAACUGAGCCUCAGCUGUAGAAAGCACACAUUGAAAACUUAGAUAGGGCCGAUCAGCUUUACCAAGCGAGCAAUUCACUAACCAGGUAUAUUCAAACAAAAGAUUAGAAGAAGUGUGGUGUACUGUUUCGUACAAGUAGGGUAUUUGCUCACCAUUGAUUUUUUUUUAGCACAUGAUAUCGUCAUGAACUAGCAGCAGCAGCAGUAGCAAGUAACUCUAAUGUAACAAAAUGGCAUAAUUAUGGAAAUCUGCAGUAUGUGGUAAGAUGAGGGUGUCUAUUUGUCAUAGUAAUAAUCUUAGUGACGAGCAAUUGCCCUAUAUAAAUCCUGGAGCUGGUAAAGAGAAGAGUUCAUAAUCGUGUCUAUGGUACAACCAGGAACAAUAUAGGAUCAAUAUGUACAUAAUAAGGGUGAUUAGUUAGUGCAUUUACUAUGCAUCAUAUCAAACCUCCUGUAAUUUAUCUUCCCUGAUUAUAGCUGAUCUCGUGUCUACAUUCGCACCUAUUCUCAGUGAAUCGCAGAAUGCUCAUGCUGAAACUAGCAAUGCAACCAAGCAAAGUAGCCCUGAACAAAGUGUGCAGCUUUACGAAGUCACUAAGCAGGUUUGUGAUAAUGAAUGUUUCAUUUCUUGUAAUAAUAAGGUAAAACUGAAGUCUUGUUGUAUUUGAUGAAAUCAAGAAACGAAAGUAAACUUCUGGCAAAAGGAGCUCUAGUGAGUAAGAUUAAACAUAUGUGGUCAGAGGAAACAUGCUUGGAGAGCAAUAUAUUUGUAGUUUCUGUUCACCGUAUUUCAAAUGUUGGAGAUGAGAGACUGGUGUGACCAUAUGAAAAAUUCAAAACAGUAAAAAACAAUCAAAUCAGCCCCUCUGAACACAGACACAGAACAUUGCUAGUCCAACACAACCACAAAAUAUUGGUUAGAGGAUUCAGAAAAGGAGUGCAUUGCAUGAGCCAGGAGCAACUACAGAUGAAUAAUCUUCAAAUGAACAAAUAUUAUAGAUGAUGUAUAGAUUUUAGCUUCAAAUGAGUACAUAGUUCUACCUUGUAGGGUUUUCGUAAUUAUUUGUAUCUUCCGUAUGAAUAUCUCAUUUGUGAGCUUCACACUUUCAGUAGAGGCAUUUGUUCCUAUUAAUUUAUCCACUCUAUGCUAA